rnacentral:rRNA from 1 species
CAUGCAAGUCGAGGGGCAGCAUGGUCUUAGCUUGCUAAGGCCGAUGGCGACCGGCGCACGGGUGAGUAACACGUAUCCAACCUGCCGUCUACUCUUGGACAGCCUUCUGAAAGGAAGAUUAAUACAAGAUGGCAUCAUGAGUCCGCAUGUUCACAUGAUUAAAGGUAUUCCGGUAGACGAUGGGGAUGCGUUCCAUUAGAUAGUAGGCGGGGUAACGGCCCACCUAGUCUUCGAUGGAUAGGGGUUCUGAGAGGAAGGUCCCCCACAUUGGAACUGAGACACGGUCCAAACUCCUACGGGAGGCAGCAGUGAGGAAUAUUGGUCAAUGGGCGAGAGCCUGAACCAGCCAAGUAGCGUGAAGGAUGACUGCCCUAUGGGUUGUAAACUUCUUUUAUAGAGGAAUAAAGUCGGGUAUGCAUACCCGUUUGCAUGUACUUUAUGAAUAAGGAUCGGCUAACUCCGUGCCAGCAGCCGCGGUAAUACGGAGGAUCCGAGCGUUAUCCGGAUUUAUUGGGUUUAAAGGGAGCGUAGGUGGACUGGUAAGUCAGUUGUGAAAGUUUGCGGCUCAACCGUAAAAUUGCAGUUGAUACUGUCAGUCUUGAGUACAGUAGAGGUGGGCGGAAUUCGUGGUGUAGCGGUGAAAUGCUUAGAUAUCACGAAGAACUCCGAUUGCGAAGGCAGCUCACUGGACUGCAACUGACACUG